rnacentral:rRNA from 1 species
UACGUAGGGUGCAAGCGUUAAUCGGAAUUACUGGGCGUAAAGCGUGCGCAGGCGGUGAUGUAAGACAGUUGUGAAAUCCCCGGGCUCAACCUGGGAACUGCAUCUGUGACUGCAUCGCUGGAGUGCGGCAGAGGGGGAUGGAAUUCCGCGUGUAGCAGUGAAAUGCGUAGAUAUGCGGAGGAACACCGAUGGCGAAGGCAAUCCCCUGGACCUGCACUGACGCUCAUGCACGAAAGCGUGGGGAGCAACAGG